UACGUAGGGCGCAAGCGUUGCUCGGAAUUAUUGGGCGUAAAGCGCACGUAGGCGGUCCGUUAAGUCGGAUGUGAAAGCCCCCGGCUCAACCGGGGAAGUGCAUCCGAAACUGGCAGGCUAGAGUACGAAAGAGGGUCGCGGAAUUCCCGGUGUAGAGGUGAAAUUCGUAGAUAUCGGGGAGGAACACCGGUGGCGAAGGCGGCGACCUGGGUCGAUACUGACGGCUGAGGUGCGAAAAGCGUGGGGGAGCAAACAGG
rnacentral:rRNA from 1 species